rnacentral:misc_RNA from 1 species
AAGUCGUAACAAGGUCUCCGUAGGUGAACCUGCGGAGGGAUCAUUAACACUUUGAUACUAAAUCAAAACCAACCUGUGAACUUGUAUCACGACCCUGGUUAAGUCUAGAUUUUGACAUCGUACUGGAUAGGUAAAUUUUGCUUGCAAGAUUUGUAUGAUGUUAUUCAUAUGUAAAAGUAUGCAGCAACAUUUAUGUUGUUGGUUUAUUCAUAACAGGGCCUAAUUUGAAAGACAGAAUUUAUUCUGACUUUUAAGAUCUAGCCUAUAGAUCGCUUUAUUCACCUUUUUUAAUCAUUAACUACUAAUGACUAUAUAACACAUUAGGUUUGCCCUGUGUGGACUGAUUAUGCUAAGCAAUUUAUUGUUUGCAUUGUUGUAAUUCAACCAUGAUACAACUCUUAACAAUGGAUAUCUUGGUUCUC